GAUGAACGCUAGCUACAGGCUUAACACAUGCAAGUCGAGGGGAAACGGCAUUUAGUGCUUGCACCGAAUGGACGUCGACCGGCGCACGGGUGAGUAACGCGUAUCCAACCUACCCAUUACUGUGGGAUAACCUGCCGAAAGGCAGACUAAUACCGCAUAGUCUUCGAUGACGGCAUCAGAUUUGAAGUAAAGAUUUAUCGGUAAUGGAUGGGGAUGCGUCUGAUUAGCUUGUUGGCGGGGUAACGGCCCACCAAGGCGACGAUCAGUAGGGGUUCUGAGAGGAAGGUCCCCCACAUUGGAACUGAGACACGGUCCAAACUCCUACGGGAGGCAGCAGUGAGGAAUAUUGGUCAAUGGACGAGAGUCUGAACCAGCCAAGUAGCGUGCAGGAUGACGGCCCUAUGGGUUGUAAACUGCUUUUGUAUGGGGAUAAAGUCAAUCACGUGUGAUUGUUUGCAGGUACCAUACGAAUAAGGACCGGCUAAUUCCGUGCCAGCAGCCGCGGUAAUACGGAAGGUCCGGGCGUUAUCCGGAUUUAUUGGGUUUAAAGGGAGCGUAGGCCGGAGAUUAAGUGUGUUGUGAAAUGUAGACGCUCAACGUCUGACUUGCAGCGCAUACUGGUUUCCUUGAGUACGCACAACGUUGGCGGAAUUCGUCGUGUAGCGGUGAAAUGCUUAGAUAUGACGAAGAGCUCCGAUUGCGAAGGCAGCUGACGGGAGCGCAACUGACGCUUAAGCUCGAAGGUGCGGGUAUCGAACAGG
rnacentral:rRNA from 1 species